rnacentral:rRNA from 1 species
CUUGUACACACCGCCCGUCACACCAUGGGAGCGGGUUCUGCCAGAAGUAGUUAGCCUAACCGCAAGGAGGGCGAUUACCACGGCAGGGUUCGUGACUGGGGU